rnacentral:rRNA from 1 species
UACGAAGGGGGCUAGCGUUGUUCGGAAUUACUGGGCGUAAAGCGCACGUAGGCGGGUUGUUAAGUCAGGGGUGAAAUCCUGGAGCUCAACUCCAGAACUGCCUUUGAUACUGGCAACCUAGAGACUGGAAGAGGUUAGUGGAAUUCCCAGUGUAGAGGUGAAAUUCGUAGAUAUUGGGAAGAACACCAGUGGCGAAGGCGGCUCACUGGUCCGGUACUGACGCUGAGGUGCGAAAGCGUGGGGAGCAAACAGGAU